rnacentral:sRNA from 1 species
GCGUCGGUCACACUAAUACGAAACGCUGAGCAUAAAUUUUUUGAAACAUGUUUUUAUGCAGCAGCGGAAAUAACAACAACAACCAAAGCAGCAGCUGCAACAAUCAACAAAAACAACAAGCUCCAUUUGCUGUUUGUGGAAUAAAGCAAUAAUAACAUAGAAAACAAGCGUCAGUGUAAAAUUAAUAACAAAAGCAGCGGCAUCGGUAGAACAGCAGCAGCAGCAUUCAGUCCAAAAGCAACUCCUUUUAGAGCUCUCUCUCUCUCUCUAUGGACCACCAACAGCUGUCUGAUUUUCAAAUGAUUAUUAUGCAGAGAGGGUAAAGGAAAAAACAACAGACAGCAGCCACCGGCACAGUGGAACGUGAAAGCAACGGGAUUACAGUGGAACAGACAGCAAGGAUUACAAACAGCUGCUGCACAGUGGAACACCGGGGAUUACCAUGGAAAAAACCGGCAAUGAAAAUGAAAAUGAAAAUCCUACAAAAACGGAUUGAUUAUUGUUUUUAGACUUUAACAUUUUUUUUUUGUAAUACUGUGUGUUGGAUUCAUCGUGAAUUUUUCAAAUGGAAUACCAAUAAUAAUUGUGAAAUGUUUGCAUUGGAUGAUACCCCGCAAAAUGUGCAACCGCAGCAGAGCCGUCGCGACCACAAAUCUUAAAGAAAAUUCCUUUAAGAUCAAUAACAAUACAAAUUGCGGUAAUCUAACAAAAACUACCAUAACCUAAGAAAACAAAGAAAAACAAAGCAAAACAAAAGGCAAGAAACAG